UGGCCUUCCAAAUACCGUUUCGAUCCCUAACAUCACUGAAGAGACAUAUAUUGUCGAAAUCUAGAUCUGGUGUACAAAAUAAAUAUUGACACCUUAUGUUUGUGGCUUAACAUCUUGGCCACAAGUUAAUUGUUUUCUGUAUAGUAUUAAAUUUAUAUUAAGAUCCAUUUUGUUACAUCUCGUGAUCAAUUUUAUUUGGCAAUCGCCAAUGGCAGUCAGCAGGGUUUAAGAACCUCAGUCGUUCGACCUGUUAGUCAAAUGCGUUUUG
rnacentral:lncRNA from 1 species